rnacentral:rRNA from 1 species
AGUGAACGCUGGCGGCGUGCUUAACACAUGCAAGUCGAACGGACAGACAGAGAGCUUGCUCUCUUGAAGUUAGUGGCGAACGGGUGAGUAACGCGUAAUCAACCUGCCCUUCAGAGGGGGAUAACAACGGGAAACCGUUGCUAAUACCGCGUACGAUUCAUGAACGGCAUCGUUUAUGAAUGAAAGGUGGCCUCUAUGUAUAAGCUAUCGCUGAAGGAGGGGAUUGCGUCUGAUUAGCUAGUUGGAGGGGUAACGGCCCACCAAGGCAAUGAUCAGUAGCCGGUCUGAGAGGAUGAACGGCCACAUUGGGACUGAGACACGGCCCAAACUCCUACGGGAGGCAGCAGUGGGGAAUCUUCCGCAAUGGACGAAAGUCUGACGGAGCAACGCCGCGUGAGUGAUGAAGGUCUUCGGAUUGUAAAGCUCUGUUAAUCGGGACGAAAGAGUUCUGCGUGAAUAAUGCAGAAAAGUGACGGUACCGGAAUAGAAAGCCAUGGCUAACUACGUGCCAGCCGCCGCCGUAA